GGUUGCUUGGUGUAAUGGUUAGCACAUCAGAUUCUGAUCAGCCUCGCGGCGUCCGAAAUUCUGGGGAUAUUGGUUCGAUUCCUAUAGCGACCU
rnacentral:tRNA from 1 species